GUUUAUACCCACAGCAAAGCUGCUGUUUGUUCACAUCUUCGUCAUGCAACAUAUUGGUGUACUUGACAGGAUAAGCGGAUCGCAAAGGAGCAGAAAGCCUUUCUGGACACUGGGCUGGAGGAUGGCCAUCUUCACCAGGACACCUCGGAGAGAUAUUUGCUGAAGCCUCUUGAGGAGACCGUAACUCUUAGGUUCCAGACAAAAAUAUUAAACUCAGAAGUGUUACCAUAAAGAAACAACAGCAGAGAACCCUGAUGGAAUUUCGAGUGAACAAAUUAGCCAUGAGAUUCCAGCGCCUAACCUUGACCCACAAAAACGGGAAGUGCAAGAAGAUGACGGCAGUGCACCCAGAAAUGGUGACCAUGCAACAAAUACAGAAACUGGGGAAAGCCACUGUGACAAGCCUACGCAGACAAAAGCGUAAGAGGCUUAAGGGACCUGGGCCCCCCUGGGACACAUGCAGAGUGAGGUUGCCUGGAGUUAAAAAUUCCACAAGUCACUUCUCUGAAGCUGUGCAUCCCAUGAAGCCUGAGAUCAAAGGACAUGCCGCCCUUCCUCAGAGGCAUGGGCCAGAGGGUUGACGUAUGUUAACAACAUAUUGUGAGAGGUCUAUAUCUGCUCUGUCCUGAGGAAAGAUACAGUCAUUACUUCAUACUGAGUAAACUGAGUGAAUGCUUGUUGCUUGAAGAUACUCUUCCAUUAACUCUGUUCUCCUGUGACUACUUUCUUCUUUGUGAUCUUUAUUUAGAUACCUGCCCAGAGAUUAGUCAGUGUCUAGAAGAGAAUGUUUACUGCAGAAGUGAUUGUGUUGAUAUGGUAACAGGAUAUUUCCUUACAAGUUAAUUGCAGAUAGGUAAAAUGAGGUAAUGUUGAAACUAACAGAUGAUAGAUUAAGUGUGUACAUGACUAAAAAGGUAUAAAAUCAAAACCCUGAAGAAAGAACUUUGCUACAUGCCAUCCCAUACUGUGUAGUCUGUUUCUUGACUUAAUAAUUACAGGAGCGAGUUUAUACCCACGGCAAAGCUGCUAUUUGUUCGCGUCUCUGGUCAUGCAACAAUUACCAUAGAUUGUUCUCAUAUAAUGCUCUUUGCUGCAUCUCCCAAAUGUCAAUUUGCACAAUGUUCCUUAUCAACCUUAGCAGUUUUGAAGGGUACUUACUGAUCAGGUAAGCUGUAAAAUGUGCCUCCGUGUGGGUUUUUCUUGUAAGUAGACUGGGGUUAUGAACGUUUGAGAGAACAGCCUGGAGAUGAAGUGGCAGGAGGGUGUAAAGGGAGAAAAGACAAACUUUUGGGAGUCACAGGUGAGGAGUCAAUAAUAGUGGAAUUACAGAUUUUAUAUGGGCAAUAGCUGGCCCUGAGACGCUGAGAACAGGACUACAGGUCCCUGUGUGGGACGUCUGGAAUAGGGUGGGGUUUUGCAGGACCAGUGGGUACUUUCUGAGGAGCGGGUGCAGACCCAGAGCCUGAUUUAAGGGCUUGGAUGGACAGUGGGCGGGGCUCAGAGGAGCUGGGGUUGGAGUUUUGAGGGGUUCUAACAAAUUCUGGAGGAAUCCUUGUGAAGCUGGAGAGCUUGCUCCUGCAGAGCCUAGUGGUUCAGUGGGCAGUGCUCUAAGAACUUUGCCAAAUUAUUUUAGUUGGUGUGGCUCUAUCCCUCCCCGGCCCCCAGAGUGCCCCUUCAACCAGACCCACAACCUGAGAGUGCAGCACGUACUUGAGCACCGUCUACUUCCCCCCCUCACCUGCAUAGCUCAGCACUGCCAGAGGGCGCCACUGUGGGCGGUGCUGGGGGUAGGCAGGGAGCUGCCAAGGGGUGCGCUGUGGGCAGGG